GCAAACUUGGUCAUUUAGAGGAAGUAAAAGUCGUAACAAGGUUUCCGUAGGUGAACCUGCGGAAGGAUCAUCACUGAUCUGUGGGGUGUGUUCGCAUUCAUGUGUCACACCCCCACCCAAUCUUUUGUGCACGGUUUCACGGUCAACGAGGCGCCGCGUGUGUGUUGGUGGGUCCCAGUGGCUUGCCAGCCGCAUGCGCGUGCGUUCUCUGCUUGCAAUCUCUGUGUAAUCUCUGUCUAACGUGUGUUACCCACUAACAAUACAACUUUCAACAAUGGAUCUCUUGGCUCUCGCAUCGAUGAAGAACGCAGC
rnacentral:misc_RNA from 1 species